GGUAGCUUAGUGGUAGAGCGCUUGCCUCAUAUGCAUGAGGUCCUGGGUUUGAUUCCUCAGUACCA
rnacentral:tRNA from 1 species